GCACCCGUAGUUCAAUGGAUAGAAUAUCGGAUUCCGGUUCCGAAGAUGCGAGUUCGAUUCUCGCCGGGUGUA
rnacentral:tRNA from 1 species